ensembl:lncRNA novel transcript
GAUUACUGGGACGUGAGAGAAGACUUCCUGAGCAUGAGAGGAUGGGCAGCCCUGAAGCAGGCAAAGGAAAAGUGGCACGGCAGGAAGCAAGUCAGAUGAGGGGGCCUGGUUUGUGCGAGAACAUGACAAACCAGUGUUCCUGAAGCCUAAAGGGAAGGUGAGACAAGGCAGAGGAGGCUGGCGGGGCCAGGUCACGGAGUCUCCUGUGCCACACUGAGAGUCUGGGCUUGAGCUUGUGGAGAGCCCAAGGAUGAAAACAGAGAAGUAAUUAAUGGCAGCUUUCCUGGGCCAGAAGAAUAAAUAAGGAAUUAUCUUACAAACAGCAACCAUGAAAUUAGAAGUUUGGUAAAACAUGUUGCAGAAGAACCAGGAAACACAUUGCAAUUGAGCCUGCUGGGUGCUGCUGCAAGUUUGGGGGUGAACAGGAGAAUCAGGUUCUUAUAGGGGUGAAGUCUGCAAAGUAGGAUGUUUUCCUAAUUUGAAUGCAAUGACUGAAGUGGAAAAUGGUCAAAACUGGGCAGAGUGGCUCACACCUACAAUCCCCUAGGAGGGAAGGACAAAGGCAUCCAUAUCACCUCGCCACAGUGGUUGUGGUGGAAGCUGUAGCACUGAAGAGAUGCAGCCCCAUGGAAGAUGCUGCCAAGAGAGGGAGACAGAGCUACGUCUGGUGUCUCCCUUCCUCCUUACCUGGUGCCUCCCUCCUCCUGUCCUCCUGUCUCCCUUCAGAUGAAGGAACUGAUGCUGAGACUUGCACUCUACCAUAGGCGGAAGCACCCACCACCCUGUUCCCAGCCCUGGAAGGGCAAGGAAUGAAUCUGAGGCAAAUAGGGCCAGCACUGGCAGUCUGCUCGAUUUUCCCUCAGAGCAUUUAUCUUCCUUGACAUAUUUACAAUUUUUUGUCUAUUUUUGGUUUCUCUAACUUGACUAGAAUGUAAGAUCCACAAGGCUUGGGCUUUGCUCUUUUGUUCACUAUGUCCAUAGCUCCUGUAACAGUGCCUAAAACAUAGUAGGCAAUCAAUAGAUAUUCUUUGGAUAAACAAAUAUGCCUCAACAUUGAGUCUAACUUACAGCAGACAUUGAAUAAAUAUCUAUUGAAUGAA